GACAUUACCUCCUUCCUGAGGCACCUGCCCUCACCGGUAGCCUCCCCACCAGCCCCGGUCUGGCCCUGGGGGCUCUGACCCAUGUAGGAUCCAGAGUCAGGGAGUUCUGGGGCCAGGUAUACCCCAGUUGUUGACCUGGGAAAGCAUGGAUGUGUCUGUCUGGGACUGAGCAUUUGUGGGUGGUAGCGAUGUGUGGGGUGGGGUGCAGUCCAGGGUGUGCCUGGACAGUGACUUUGAGAUGGGAACAGCUGGAAGCCCCCCAACUUGCUGGGCCCCAUCCCCAGUCUUUUUGACAAGAAGCAGAAUGCUGAGUAGGACAGAGUAGGGGAUGAGGGGUUGGGAUUUCCUCUGUGAAAUGUCAUCUUCCUGCCCCAGGGCCAAACCCUGGCCCUCUUAGCUGCACGCCCCUAUUUUCUCCAGGCCCCUGCCCUCCACCUGCCAUUGCUCACGCCCUCUGCCCAUUUUUUUUCAGCCUCCAAUAUCGAUAAUGUUGUCCUGGAUGAAGAUCGUUCUGGGGCUCGCCGCCUGCAAAACCUCUGGAGGGACCAGCGAGAAGAAGAACUGGGCGAGUAUUACAUGAAGAAAUACGCCAAGUCAUCUGUGGGAGAGACGGUGUAUGGAGGAUCUGAUGAGCUCUCAGAUGACAUCACCCAGCAGCAGCUGCUCCCAGGAGUCAAGGAUCCCAAUCUGUGGACUGUCAAAUGUAAGAUUGGGGAGGAACGGGCCACGGCCAUUUCCUUGAUGCGCAAGUUCAUUGCCUACCAGUUCACAGACACGCCCCUGCAGAUCAAGUCAGUAGUGGCACCAGAGCAUGUGAAGGGCUACAUCUACGUGGAGGCCUACAAGCAGACCCAUGUGAAGCAGG
rnacentral:sRNA from 1 species